rnacentral:rRNA from 1 species
GGUUAAGCGACUAAGCGUACACGGUGGAUGCCCUGGCAGUCAGAGGCGAUGAAGGACGUGCUAAUCUGCGAAAAGCGUCGGUAAGGUGAUAUGAACCGUUAUAGCCGGCGAUGUCCGAAUGGGGAAACCCAGUGCAAUUCGUUGCACUAUCGUUAACUGAAUACAUAGGUUAACGAGGCGAACCGGGGGAACUGAAACAUCUAAGUACCCCGAGGAAAAGAAAUCAACCGAGAUUCCCCCAGUAGCGGCGAGCGAACGGGGAGCAGCCCAGAGUCUGAAUCAGCUUGUGUGUUAGUGGAACGGUCUGGAAAGUCCGACGGUACAGGGUGAUAGUCCCGUACACCAAAAUGCACAGGUUGUGAACUCGAAGAGUAGGGCGGGACACGUGGUAUCCUGUCUGAAUAUGGGGGGACCAUCCUCCAAGGCUAAAUACUCCUGACUGACCGAUAGUGAACCAGUACCGUGAGGGAAAGGCGAAAAGAACCCCGGCGAGGGGAGUGAAAAAGAACCUGAAACCGUGUACGUACAAGCAGUGGGAGCACCUUCGGGUGUGACUGCGUACCUUUUGUAUAAUGGGUCAGCGACUUAUAUUCUGUAGCAAGGUUAACCGUAUAGGGGAGCCGCAGGGAAACCGAGUCUUAACUGGGCGUUAAGUUGCAGGGUAUAGACCCGAAACCCGGUGAUCUAGCCAUGGGCAGGUUGAAGGUUGGGUAACACUAACUGGAGGACCGAACCGACUAAUGUUGAAAAAUUAGCGGAUGACUUGUGGCUGGGGGUGAAAGGCCAAUCAAACCGGGAGAUAGCUGGUUCUCCCCGAAAGCUAUUUAGGUAGCGCCUCGUGAACUCAUCUUCGGGGGUAGAGCACUGUUUCGGCUAGGGGGUCAUCCCGACUUACCAACCCGAUGCAAACUACGAAUACCGAAGAAUGUUAUCACGGGAGACACACGGCGGGUGCUAACGUCCGUCGUGAAGAGGGAAACAACCCAGACCGCCAGCUAAGGUCCCAAAGUCAUGGUUAAGUGGGAAACGAUGUGGGAAGGCACAGACAGCCAGGAUGUUGGCUUAGAAGCAGCCAUCAUUUAAAGAAAGCGUAAUAGCUCACUGGUCGAGUCGGCCUGCGCGGAAGAUGUAACGGGGCUAAACCAUGCACCGAAGCUGCGGCAGCGACACUAUGUGUUGUUGGGUAGGGGAGCGUUCUGUAAGCCUGCGAAGGUGACCUGUGAGGGUUGCUGGAGGUAUCAGAAGUGCGAAUGCUGACAUAAGUAACGAUAAAGCGGGUGAAAAGCCCGCUCGCCGGAAGACCAAGGGUUCCUGUCCAACGUUAAUCGGGGCAGGGUGAGUCGACCCCUAAGGCGAGGCCGAAAGGCGUAGUCGAUGGGAAACAGGUUAAUAUUCCUGUACUUGGUGUUACUGCGAAGGGGGGACGGAGAAGGCUAUGUUAGCCGGGCGACGGUUGUCCCGGUUUAAGCAUGUAGGCUGAUUGUCCAGGCAAAUCCGGAUAAUCAAGGCUGAGGUGUGAUGACGAGGCACUACGGUGCUGAAGUAACAAAUGCCCUGCUUCCAGGAAAAGCCUCUAAGCAUCAGGUAACAUCAAAUCGUACCCCAAACCGACACAGGUGGUCAGGUAGAGAAUACCAAGGCGCUUGAGAGAACUCGGGUGAAGGAACUAGGCAAAAUGGUGCCGUAACUUCGGGAGAAGGCACGCUGGUGUGUAGGUGAAGUCCCUGCGGAUGGAGCUGAGACCAGUCGAAGAUACCAGCUGGCUGCAACUGUUUAUUAAAAACACAGCACUGUGCAAACACGAAAGUGGACGUAUACGGUGUGACGCCUGCCCGGUGCCGGAAGGUUAAUUGAUGGGGUUAUCCGUAAGGAGAAGCUCUUGAUCGAAGCCCCGGUAAACGGCGGCCGUAACUAUAACGGUCCUAAGGUAGCGAAAUUCCUUGUCGGGUAAGUUCCGACCUGCACGAAUGGCGUAAUGAUGGCCAGGCUGUCUCCACCCGAGACUCAGUGAAAUUGAACUCGCUGUGAAGAUGCAGUGUACCCGCGGCAAGACGGAAAGACCCCGUGAACCUUUACUAUAGCUUGACACUGAACAUUGAGCCUUGAUGUGUAGGAUAGGUGGGAGGCUUUGAAGCGUGGACGCCAGUCUGCGUGGAGCCAACCUUGAAAUACCACCCUUUAAUGUUUGAUGUUCUAACGUUGGCCCCUGACCGGGGUUGCGGACAGUGUCUGGUGGGUAGUUUGACUGGGGCGGUCUCCUCCCAAAGCGUAACGGAGGAGCACGAAGGUUAGCUAAUCCUGGUCGGACAUCAGGAGGUUAGUGCAAUGGCAUAAGCUAGCUUGACUGCGAGCGUGACGGCGCGAGCAGGUGCGAAAGCAGGUCAUAGUGAUCCGGUGGUUCUGAAUGGAAGGGCCAUCGCUCAACGGAUAAAAGGUACUCCGGGGAUAACAGGCUGAUACCGCCCAAGAGUUCAUAUCGACGGCGGUGUUUGGCACCUCGAUGUCGGCUCAUCACAUCCUGGGGCUGAAGUAGGUCCCAAGGGUAUGGCUGUUCGCCAUUUAAAGUGGUACGCGAGCUGGGUUUAGAACGUCGUGAGACAGUUCGGUCCCUAUCUGCCGUGGGCGCUGGAGAAUUGAGGGGGGCUGCUCCUAGUACGAGAGGACCGGAGUGGACGCAUCACUGGUGUUCGGGUUGUCAUGCCAAUGGCACUGCCCGGUAGCUAAAUGCGGAAGAGAUAAGUGCUGAAAGCAUCUAAGCACGAAACUUGCCCCGAGAUGAGUUCUCCCUGAGACUUUAAGUCUCCUGAAGGAACGUUGAAGACGACGACGUUGAUAGGCCGGGUGUGUAAGCGCAGCGAUGCGUUGAGCUAACCGGUACUAAUGAACCGUGAGGCUUAACCUU